rnacentral:rRNA from 1 species
GACGAACGCUGGCGGCGUGCUUAACACAUGCCAGUCGAACGGAAAGGCCCUGCUUUUGUGGGGUGCUCGAGUGGCGAACGGGUGAGUAACACGUGAGUAACCUGCCCUUGACUUUGGGAUAACUUCAGGAAACUGGGGCUAAUACCGGAUAGGAGCUCCUGCUGCAUGGUGGGGGUUGGAAAGUUUCGGCGGUUGGGGAUGGACUCGCGGCUUAUCAGCUUGUUGGUGGGGUAGUGGCUUACCAAGGCUUUGACGGGUAGCCGGCCUGAGAGGGUGACCGGCGACAAUGGGACUGAGAUACGGCCCAGACGCCUACGGGAGGCAGCAGUGGGGAAUAUUGCACAAUGGGCGGAAGCCUGAUGCAGCAACGCCGGGUGCGGGAUGACGGCCUGCGGGUUGUAAACCGCUUUCGCCUGUGACGAAGCGUGAGUGACGGUAAUGGGUAAAGAAGCACCGGCUAACUACGUG